UCCCAGCCUACUCGCUAGGGGAUGAAGAGUGACAAACGGGGAGACCCUCGACGCUGUGCAAGCACUGCCAAGCAAUUGUCAAAAGAGUGUGUAAUCAACACUCUUACAGAAAUCCAAAGCACAGCACUAUGGGGGCUGCUCUGAAGAAUGUUAACUCCAUCACAGCCCAGUACAUCUUGGUAACAGCAAUUUUAGAUUAAAAAACCUUUUGCAUAAAACAAUGAUAAAUUAGGUACUACCUAAGGAUAGGUAUACAAGGAUUCCCUAACCAGCAAAUGAUGCAUUGGUUAGGAAAGUAGGGUUAUGGCAUUAAUUGUAUUAGAGGCAGCGUAUGAAAACAUUGCUUGACAGAGAUCUGUGGUGGAAAAGCAAUCAAUCAUCAAAGCAACACAGUGGAUGUGUAUAGGCAAGCUGCCAAGAAGCAGUGGAGAAGGCAAAGGACAAGUAAAAAGAGAGCAGUCUGCUUUAAACACACAGAACAUGCAGUUAAGCAGCUCUAGGUGCAAGGACCUAACACCAGAAAACAGUAAUACAUGGUUGAAAACUUUGGGGUUUGGGGUUGUUGGUUAUUUUGGGCAUGAGAGGUUUGUCUUGUUUUCCUUUUGUAAAGGGUAGUAUCAAGCUGUCAGGGAGACUGACAGAGCACUGUGCUUUACUGGCAUUAUUUUCCUUCCAAGAACACCAAGGACAGGAGCUGCUUUAAAUCCAUUUUCUUUGGAAUUGUGCAAUUUGGUGUUUCAAGGACCCUGUCUAAUAGAGGGUCAUGUCCACAAUUGCUCUUAGAGGAAAGGAAAUGGCAGGUGUCAGAGGUAAUCAUGUCUGAUCACUGCAGACACCAGUCAUGGGGCUGCUCCAAACCACAAUAGACCUGCCAUGGCAAUGACAAGUUGAGGACAUGCUGGGGAGACCAGGAGAUUGAAGGGCACGUUAGUCUUGUGACAGCAAUGAGAGCACCAUCCAGUAACUCACAGCUGCAAGUUUCACUAGAUUUAGCUUUUCUUCUUUUUUUGUCCCUUCUAGUGUAAGGACAAUUACUGCAAGCUGUUUAAGAUCAUAAAUAGAAACACUGUGGCUUGCUUAACUUUGGGAUCAUAAAUUAAAAGUGAAUAUAAGGAAAACAUUAGAAGCAUACCUGCUAUUCCCCUGAACAAGUCAGAUGAUUAGUUCAGAGAAAAGGGGAAAGCAGCUAGUGAAGACUGAAAGUUGCUGGAUUGCUGGCCAGGAAGCAGCUUUGGGUCUUCCAUUAGCCACCAACUCUGCAAGGACCAUGAAUGCUGUCCACCUGCUCAGCCACAGUGAACAGACCCAGCUGAGCCGUAAGAUCAGGUCACAUCCAAUACCUGGUAUGGCUCUUCUUGGUGAAAAGAUUUUACAUUGCCUAGUGCAGGAAAGGUCAAAAGUGUAGUAAAAAAGAAGAGGAAAGAGCUUUCUUCUGCAAGCUCAUAGGACUGAGUCCCAGGUCCUGGUUUUGUCCCUCAGGUAUGGUGUUAUUUUUCAAUGAACACAAAUCAUUCUCUCAGCAGCCUAAACUUGCCAAGUGCUGAGUGCACAGCUUGCUCCCAAAGCUACCGACAGCUCUAGCAACCCACACCUUUUACAAGCUGCACUUAAAGGGAUAACAAAGUUAGAAGUAGCAGAGAAGUACUGUUGCUGCACUAUGCAUAUCACCUCUCCCAGGUGAUGCUCAAAACAAGAGGCAAUACUGGCUCCUUCCCCCAAUAUAUCUUUUCUGUUUAAAAGGGCCACGAAUAAUGAGAACACUUACCAUUAAUACAGUGUACUCUGUACCACAGUGAACUGAUAAACACUGUCCCAAAUUCAUAUACAUUAAUAUCAAUUGCAAUAUAUUUAUACAUACACAUGCAUAGACACGAAUGCACACAUAUACACGAGCAUAUAUAUACAUAUAAAACUACUGGUGUGCUCUCAGAAUCGGGGUGAGGUAUACAAAAAAAACCACAAAUAGCAGUUUCAUGUUAUUUGCAAUGAAGUCUUUUAUUCAAGCUGUACCCAUUUAGAUGUCUCAUUUCCCUCCACAUGUUGCCCCUCAACAUUUGCAGAAAUCAGCCAUCAUUGAGAAGGAACAGACUGGUGAAGAUUUCAAGCAGCAGAAGAAGCUACAGCAGGAGACAGAAACUGUGGGAAACAGGAACACCAGUAGAGCCCCCUCACAGUGUUUUUUAACUUCAGUGUAGAUGAAGACCAAACAAGAUCAUUUAGUCCAGAGCAUGAUACCAGUUCAGAAGAAAGAGGGGG